UACGGAGGGGGCGAGCGUUAUUUGGAAUUAUUGGGCGUAAAGGGCGCGUAGGCGGCUUGACAAGUCAAAGGUGAAAUCCCUCGGCUCAACUGAGGAACUGCCUUUGAAACUGUCAGGCUUGAGGCCGGGAGGGGGUAGCGGAAUUCCCAGUGUAGCGGUGAAAUGCGUAGAUAUUGGGAGGAACACCAGUGGCGAAGGCGGCUACCUGGACCGGUACUGACGCUGAUGCGCGAAAGCGUGGGUAGCAAACAGG
rnacentral:rRNA from 1 species